UACGUAGGGUGCAAGCGUUGUCCGGAAUUAUUGGGGCGUAAAGAGCCCGUAGGCGGUUUGUCGCGUCUGCUGUGAAAACCCAGGGCUUAACCCUGGGCCUGCAGUGGGUACGGGCAAACUAGAGUGCGGUAGGGGAGAUCGGAAUUCCUGGUGUAGCGGUGAAAUGCGCAGAUAUCAGGAGGAACACCGGUGGCGAAGGCGGAUCUCUGGGCCGUAACUGACGCUGAGGAGCGAAAGCAUGGGUAGCGAACAGG
rnacentral:rRNA from 1 species